UGUAGAUUACUUUUAUAAUAACGACCAGGAAAAAAGUAACCGAUAGAUAGCAAGGACAGCAAUUAUUAUUUUGAGUAUAAAGAAGGGCAAUCAUUUACUGGCAGUCACAACUUUUGCGUCGACUGUCUUCUAACAAGCACCCAACUGCGAUAUAUAAAUCGAAAUUUGUUUGAAAUGUCGAAGUUCAUUAUUUUCUUAAUAUGUAUGGCUGCAUUGUUUGCUAUUGGAAACUGUAUUAAGGAUAAUUGUUCACGCUGUGGAAAAGACGGAGAGAGUUGUUAUCGCGGUGAAUGCUGCGCUGGUUUGACUUGCAAGAGAAAUGAUUCAUAUCAACCGAUAUGUCAAUGUAAGACAGGUCCAUUUAGUGACAACUGUAUAAAAUAAAAUUUGACUUAUAAACUGCUAAAUUAUAAUAAAAUUGCUUUGAGUUUAAGUACAAAAUCAAAUGUAUUCAAUAAAUUUCAUUGUUUGAUUCAAUAAAAAAUUUAUUUAACACCCAAAAAAUGUUGUAUAAAAGUUAAAUAAA